rnacentral:rRNA from 1 species
UACGUAGGGUGCAGGCGUUAAUCGGAAUUACUGGGCGUAAAGCGUGCGCAGGCGGUCUCUUAAGACAGGUGUGAAAUCCCCGGGCUUAACCUGGGAACUGCGCUUGUAACUGAGAGGCUUGAGUGUGCCAGAGGGGGGUGGAAUUCCGAGUGUAGAGGUGAAAUUCGUAGAUAUUCGGAAGAACACCAGUGGCGAAGGCGACUUACUGGACACAUACUGACGCUGAGGUGCGAAAGCGUGGGGAGCAAACAGG